rnacentral:misc_RNA from 1 species
GUGAAUCAUCAAAUUUUUGAACGAAAAUUGCACUCCCUGGUAUUCCGGGGAGUAUGCAUGUUUGAGGGUGGUUAGAUGAUAAAUCGAAGCAUCGCUCUUUUUUUUGAGGGUGAUCGCGUCGGAAUUGAGUCGUAUUUCAAAUGUUAAUUCAUGUUAAAGUGGCUUAAAAUUCAUCUAUCAGGUACGAUUAAAUCGUAUUUAAUAUCAAUUUUGAUUAAGAAAACGUGAUGACGUACCAUCUAAUGUAGUACGUUUGAACUGGGUCAUCAGGUUCAUUCGUAUACGAUAGUCAAUAU